UGAUAGACAACUUCAUCUACUGAAUUAUUACUAUACUAAAGUAUUUAAAUAACUCUUUGUUGAUUAAUCAUAUAUCUAUGAGCUAGAGAGAAGUGAGGGGACCAAACUAGUCUUAUAACUUAAAAUAUGUUUAGUAGUCGAACAUUUGGGAUCAAAUUGGUUUAUUCGAUUUGAGGUACGAUUUAGUUGAUAUAAUUUGGUCUAAUAAAUCAAGACAUAAAACAAAAUAAUCUUAUAUAUUAAAACAGAAGUCACAACUUUAAUUCAUGUGUGAUAUUUUUAAAAAUGGACUCUUUAGAUAUUUCAUUUAUUUCUUAAUAACAUUUCUUAAUCAUUAAUGGAUCAUUUAAAAUAAUAUCAAUCGAAUAUCAUAACAACUCUAUCCUAUAUAUCAGUUCAAUUUAUGAAAUGAUACACGUAUCACAUAAAAGAAAUUAAAUUAUGUCAUCAAAUCAUGAGUGAACUCCUAACUAUGUAAAAACUAUGUAGCACAUAUGAACUUGUCGUGCUCUCUAAUGACCAUAGUUCAUCACCUUAAGAAAAUAUUAUAACAGAAAUAUUAAAUCACCUAAUAAAUAUAUACAGAACCAUUAUUAAAAUGAAUCACCUUAAUUUUUUAAAAAUCUCUGUUAUCUUAAAGUGAACUCCUUACGGUGUCAUGACCUUCUAACAGAUAAGAAGUUGUGAUCUCUAAUUUGGAUCUAUCGUUCAUCACAAAUGAAUGAGGAUUCAAUUUUGUUUUUCAAUACUUUCCAGUCCAGUUACCCAAGUACCUCAAAUCAAUGUAAUAUGAAAUUUUGUUUUUUUUUUAAAUUAGUCUAUCAUAACAUUGAAGUGUUGGAUUUCCUAAUACACGAUUCAUAUUGAUCAUAAAUUCAUAUUAGUUCAUUUAAAAAAAACCCAAUCGUACCUAACCGGUUCAUAAUAAUGUUGACUAUACAACCGAUUCUAAAUAUAUAUAUAUACAACCUAAGCCACCAAUUUUGAAAAACAAAAAUCUGUUACAGUAUAAGAAUAUACCUAAACAAAACGAUUUAUAUGCCAUAAACUUUUUAUAUUUGUUUAUAAAUCAGCCAUAAAAUCCUCAUAAUGUAUCUUAAAUAUAUAUUUUAACAGUAAACAAUGAGCAUAACUAAAUCAAGUAAAUCUUACCUAUUAAAACAUAUCCAUAAACGUGUUCUAUUUUAUUUUAAAUUCACAAAUCAGUUAUCCUCAAAUUCACAUAAUCAAUCUAUGCUUAUUUACUUUUAAUAAAUCAAACCUACGGUAACUAAAUCUUAUAUAUUAAAACAGAAGUCGUGACUUUAAUUCAUGUGUGAUUUUUUUAAAAAUGGACCAUUACUAGAAAUCAGUUAUCAUUCAUUUAUUACUAAUUAUAUGGCUUAACUUAUAUCAUUGCUAAUAAAACGACUCCUACAAAACUGGCUUGGUUAACAAACCAACAUUAGAUUUCUUAAUAAAUUAUACAUUGGAUCUAGCGUGGUAUAAUUGAAGCUGAUUGACAUAUGAUUGGUAAUCGAUUCCACCAAGCUACCAUCGUAUACAUGCAUUUUAACCAUUUCAUAGAUCUUGACCAUCGUAUACUUGUAUUUUACUAGCUGUAUAAACAUAAACCAUUUUAACCAUUUCAUAGACUAAUACAUUUUCUUAUUGUUUUAGAGUUUUGGUAUGUUAUACAUGCUGUUCAUGUAAUAAACAAAACCAACUCUUAUCUAUUAAAAUAGAAAUGAUGACUUUUUUCAUGUGUGAUAUUUUUAUUUAGAUCAUCAUUUAGAAAUUUUAUUAAAUGUAUUUUCUUAAUACUAAUAUAAUAUAAAAUUUAUAAUUACUUAAAUCGUAAUAUCUUUUGAUAUCUUUUAAAUUAAAAUAAAAAUAUCUAUAUUUAAAAAUUACAACAAAUCUUUUGAAAAAGAUUAUAACAAGAUCUUACCUGUCAAAAUUCUACAUAAAUAUUUGCAUUAAUUUCGUCGUUAGAAAUAAAAUGUUAUUACAAAUUAUAUAUAUAUAUAUAUAUAUAUAUAUAUACUGUUAUCUCUUAUAAAAUGAAAAAAAUAAAAUCAUGUCAUAUUUUAUCUAUUUAUAAUAACAUCAACCAUUUUAAAAGAAAACCAUUAUAUGGAACUAAAUAUGAUAAAAUUAUUUUAAAUUGAUAAGUUAAUAUAUUUUAUUUUCAUAAAUAUAAAAGAUUUUAUGCUAAAAUAUAA